UACGUAGGUCCCGAGCGUUGUCCGGAUUUAUUGGGCGUAAAGCGAGCGCAGGCGGUUAGAUAAGUCUGAAGUUAAAAGGCUGUGGCUUAACCAUAGUACGCUUUUGGAAAACUGUUUUAACUUUGAGUGCAAGAGGGGGAGAGUGGAAUUCCAUGUGUAGCGGUGAAAAUGCGUAGAUAUAUGGAGGAACACCGGUGGCGAAAAGCGGCUCUCUGGCUUGUAACUGACGCUGAGGCUCGAAAAGCGUGGGGGAGCAAAACAGGAUUAGAUACCCCCGCGU
rnacentral:rRNA from 1 species